rnacentral:sRNA from 10 species
GCCGGGCGCAGUGGCUCACACCUAUAAUCUCAGCACUUUGGAGGCCAAGGUGGGUGGAUUGCUUGAGCUCAGGAGUUUGGACCAACCUGGGCAGCAUGGCAAAAGCUCAUCUCUACUAAAAAUACAAUUAGCUGGGUGUGGUGGCACACGCCUUUAGUCCCAGCUAAUCAGGAGGCUGAGGUGGGAGACCACCUGAGCCUGGGGAGGUCAAGGCUGGGGUGAGCCAUGAUCAUGCUACUGUACUCUAACCUGGGCAACAGAGUGAGACCCUGUUUCA